rnacentral:ncRNA from 1 species
UCAAUAAAUCUGAACAUUUUCGGUGGAAUACCACAGAAAACGAAUCGACUAAUCUUCUGUAAUGCUAUUAUGAGGAUUGCCCUUUGAGGUUUAUAGCGAUAGGUCGCCCUAUGGUCGGUUACAUGCUUUUGUUGA